AAGGCGUCCGUAUAAAGAGGGAGGACUGCACAAUGGCGAAGGUGCACUUGUGUCCAGCUCGGCCAGUAUUUCACACAGCAAAAUGAGAAUCACAGCCCUGUUCGUCGCGGUCUUGGUUGCGUUGGCGGCGAUGUUCACCGCCACCGAAGCCAAUCCGACCUUCUUUAAAAAUAAGGGCGGCGGCGGCGGAAAAGGCGGUGGCGGCAAAUACGGCGGCGGAAAAGGCGGCGGCAAGUUCGGUGGCGGCAAGUUCGGCCUGUUCGGAGGGGAGGGGCAUCUGUUCCCUCUUUUCGGAGGCCUCUUCGGGAAGAAGGGAUGAGCGGCGCAGGCGCAGAAGGGGCAGCGGGAGGAAGAAAAUCGGACGCUCCAAGCCGCAGGAUUCUAGUGCUGUGCGCGGCUUGGCUCGAAAACAGUCAGCACCCUCGCUCUCGAGGAUAGGAAAAUGUGUACAGAGUUGAGAAAAAAAUAUAUUUCUAUACUGUAAUUUUA